AAAAACCUUAUUGAAAAAAUUUAAUGGAAUAAAAUCACGGUAAAUAAAAAAAAAGGGCAACACAAACAAAAGAAAGAGCCUAAAAAUACUUUAACAAAAGCGAUAAUUUGGGAGCCCUAACCUAUUACAAGAGGGGAUAGAUAGAAUCCUACCAAAUAAAAUUAUUAUUUUGGAGUCCAAGGGAGGAAAUUUUGUCUGCACUACGGUUGCCUUCUUUGAUAUGAGAAACAAUGAAGCGGAUGUUCUUAGUUAACUCAACACAAUUUAACCACCUAUUUUUUAAUCUCCAAGGAACAAUACUAUGGUUCUUGAAAGCAUGGAUAACUAAUUUCGAGUCUGUUUCCAACCAAAGAGAUAACCAAUCAACUCAACUCUACAAAAUUACCGGCUUGUAACACAGGGAUUGUCUCUACUUAUAACUCUUGGAACUUCUUAACACCCCCUUCUCUCAUGUCUAGUACUAUUGGCCUCUCGCGUACAAUAUUGUUGUGUUUAAGCCCAAUAGUGAUGGAUGUGAGGGGUUGUGUUACGAAAUCUCGCAUCGAAUGUUACAUGACAUAAACAUAAAUUUAUAAGUAAAGACAAUUCUCACUUUACAAACUGAUUUUAUUGGGUUGAGUUAACUCUCUUGGUCUUAAGAAAAUGGCCUACCCUUCUUUGGUAAUAAGAAAUAGAAACACACUACUGUUUUCCAUUUUAUCUUAUGCUUGAUAUAUAUGUUAUCCUAAUAAAUCUCAAUCACUGCAUUUAUAUUACUUCAUUUUUUCCCUUUAAGUUCAGAAAUAUAGUAAACUGGUAUAUAUUAUUAAUACAUGUAUAGUGAUUAUUUUGUACAUAUAUUGCGCUAAUCUAGUUACAUAUGAUAUGACCAACUAAUUAUGGCGGAAUCUAGGGUGGGAGACCAUGAUAGGUCUCUCACCAGUGCACCAC
rnacentral:lncRNA from 1 species